rnacentral:tRNA from 1 species
GCUGAUGUAGCUCAGUUGGUAGAGCAAUUGAUUUGUAAUCAAUAGGUCGUGGGUUCGAAUCCCACCGUCAGCUCCA